CUCGCCUACAUGAAGCUGGAAUUGCUAGUAAUCACAGGUCAGCAUACUGUGGUGAAUACGUUCCCGGGCCUUGUACACACCGCCCGUCACACCAUGAGAGUUGAGAAUACCCGAAGUCCAUGUCAAAGUGGCCGAAGGUAGGCUUGAUGAUUGGGGUGAAGUCGUAACAAGGUACC
rnacentral:rRNA from 1 species